AAAUUCUUCUUCUUUUUCAUAUAUGGGAGAUGAUUUUCAUUUUAACAAACUACUUAACAAACUAAGUAAAAAAGAGAGGUCAAAUUUUGGACGAGUGACUAGGAUUGGCAUAUUGGACAUUAUAGAGGGGCCAAUUUGCUCCAUUUUGGGUCAAAUUUUGGACGAGUGACUAGGAUUGGCAUAUUGGACAUUAUAGAGGGGCCAAUUUGCUCCAUUUUGGGUCAAAUUUUGGACGAGUGACUAGGAUUGGCAUAUUGGACAUUAUAGAGGGACCAAUUUCCUUCAUUUUGGUUGGCAAUAUAGUUCCCGCUGUAGUUUUUUGUAAAACAAAUUUUUCAAAAAACAGGUUUUGCAAAAUUACUCAUUACUAUCUUUUAAAACAAAGUUUUCAAAAAGCUGUUUAUACUAUUUUAUUCAAUAUUCUUUUUACGUUAUUUUUAUUUACUAUAU